rnacentral:rRNA from 1 species
GGGGUGCUCUAGUGGCGAACGGGUGAGUAACACGUGAGUAACCUGCCCUUGACUUUGGGAUAACUUCAGGAAACUGGGGCUAAUACCGGAUAGGAGCUCCUGCUGCAUGGUGGGGGUUGGAAAGUUUCGGCGGUUGGGGAUGGACUCGCGGCUUAUCAGCUUGUUGGUGGGGUAGUGGCUUACCAAGGCUUUGACGGGUAGCCGGCCUGAGAGGGUGACCGGCCACAUUGGGACUGAGACACGGCCCAG